rnacentral:rRNA from 1 species
GAUGAACGCUGGCGGCGUGCCUAACACAUGCAAGUCGAGCGAUUCUCUUCGGAGAAGAGCGGCGGACGGGUGAGUAACGCGUGGGUAACCUGCCCUGUACACACGGAUAACAUACCGAAAGGUAUGCUAAUACGAGAUAAUAUGCUUUUAUCGCAUGGUAGAAGUAUCAAAGCUUUUGCGGUACAGGAUGGACCCGCGUCUGAUUAGCUAGUUGGUAAGGUAACGGCUUACCAAGGCGACGAUCAGUAGCCGACCUGAGAGGGUGAUCGGCCACAUUGGAACUGAGACACGGUCCAAACUCCUGCGGGAGGCAGCAGUGGGGAAUAUUGCACAAUGGGCGAAAGCCUGAUGCAGCAACGCCGCGUGAGCGAUGAAGGCCUUCGGGUCGUAAAGCUCUGUCCUCAAGGAAGAUAAUGACGGUACUUGAGGAGGAAGCCCCGGCUAACUACGUGCCAGCAGCCGCAGUAAUAC